UUUUUUCUUUUCUUUUCUCUGUAUCUAUAUGAGACGAUGAGUGUUAACUAAACCUAUUAGGUAAUAAUUUCACAAUAUUUGUGAAUUAAACCAUCAUGCUGUACACCUUAAACUUCACAGUAAUGUAAGUCAAUUAUUUCUCAAUAAAACGGGGAGGAUUUAAAAAUAUAGUACAGGAACUACUAGUCAGAGAAAUUAGGCAAGAAAAAGAAAUAAAAGGCAUCUAAAUUAGAAAGGAAGUAGUAAAAAUAUCUCUGUUCACAUAUCAUUAUCUUAUGCACAGAAAACUCUAAAGAUUCCAUGCAAAAAAGUUAGAAUUGACAAAAAAAUCCAGCAAAGUAGCAGGAUAAAAAGUCAACACACAAAAAUCAACUGCAUUUCUAAACACUAACAAUGAACAACCUGAAAGGGAGAUUAAAAAACAAUUUCCGAUGAAUACCUACCAUUUACAUCAAUGUGGUUGGAACUGGAGGGUAUUACGCUGAGUGAAAUAAGUCAAUCAGAGAAAGAUAAUUAUCAUAUGGUUUCACUCAUAUGUGGAAUAUUAGAAACAGUGAAAGGGACCACAAGGAAGGGGGGAAAACUGAGUGGAGAAAACUUAAAGAGGAAAACAAACCAUGAGAGACUCCUACUCUGGGAAACAAACAAAGGGUUGCAGAAGGAGAGGUGGGGGUGGGAGGGCAGGGCAAUUGGGGGAUAGGCAUUAAGGAGGGCACAUGGUAAGAUGAGCACUGGGUGUUAUAUGUUGGCAAAUUUAAAUUUAAAAAAAAGAAUUUGACAACUGAAAAAAAUUAUUUCCAUUUGUAAUACCACCAAAAAUAAUUUCCUCCCUAAUAACUGAACAAAGGAGGUGAAAGACUUGUUCAAUGAAAAUUACAAAACAUUUUUGAAAGAAAUUAAACAAGACAUAAACAAAUGAAAAGCAUUUAUUUAUGGGUUGGAGGACCUAACAGUGUUAAGAUGUCAAUACUAGCCAAAGCAAUCUUAAGAUUCAAUGCAAUCCCUAUCAAAAUCCCAAAGACAUUUCUUACAAUAAUAGGACAAAUCAUCCUAAGCUUCACAUGGAAUUGUAAGGGACCCCGAAUAGCCAAAAUAAUACUGAAAGAAGAACAAAAUUGGAAUUCUCACACUUCCUGAUUUCAACUUCCUACAAAACUACACUAAUCAAAACAGUGUGGUACUGGCAUAAAAAGAGACAUAUAUGCCAAGGAUAUAGAAAAGACUCCAAAAAUAUACCCUUGAAUAUGCAGUCAAAUGAGUUUUGAUAAAGGAUGUCAAGACCAUUCAACAGGGAAAAGAUAGUAUUUUCAGCAAAUAGUUAUAGGAAAACUGGAUAUCCAGAGAUGCAAAUGAAUGAAGUUGGACUCUUACCUAACACUGUAUACAAAAAUCAACCUAAAAUGGAUCCAUGACCUAAAUGUAAGACCCGAAAAUAUAAAAAAACUCUUAAAAGACAAUAGAAAACAAAAGCUUCACAGUAUUACAUUUCUUGUAUAUGAUGCCAAAGGCACAGACAACAAAAGAAAAGGUAAACAAAUUGGACUCCAUGAAAAUUUUAAAAUCAAACAACCUGAUUCAAAAUGGUCAAAGAAUUUGAAUAGACAUUUCUCUAAAGAAAAUAUAUAAGUGACCAAUAAGCACCUGGAAAGAUGCUAGACAUCACUAAUCACUGGGGAAAUGCAAAUCAAAACUAUAAUGUGAGACCACCUCAGACCCAUUAGAAUGACUAUUAAGAAAAAAAAAAAAACAGAAAAAAAAAUUUUGGCAAGGAUAUGAAGAAAGGAAUCCUUGUGCAUUGUUAAUAUGAAUGCAAAAUGGUAUAGCCAUUGUGGAAACCAGUGUGGUGGCUCCUCAAAUAUUUUAAAAUAGAAUGACCACAUGAUCCAGCAAUUCCUAUUCCAGGUAUAUAACCAAAAGAAAACUGAAAGCAGUAUCUGGAAGAGAUAUAUCUGUUUUCAUGUUCAAGCUGCAUUAUUCACAAUAGCUAAAAUGUGGAGACAAUUCGUGUCCAUCACUGGAUGGACAAAUGGAUAAACAAAAUGUGGUAUAUACAUGAAAUGGCAUACUAUUCAACCUUAAUAAAAGAAGGAAAUCCUGCUCUGUGUCACAACAUGGAUGAAGCUUGAGGACAUUAUGCUAAGUGAACUAGGUCAGUCAAGAAAAGACAAAUACCAUAUGAUUCCACUGAUAUGAGGGACUUAGAGCAGUCACAAUCACACAGACAAAAUGUAGAAUGGUGGGUGCCACCAGCUGGGGGAAGGAGGGAAUGAGGAGUUAUUGCUUAAUAAGUAUAGGGUUUCAGUUUUGCAAGAUAAAAAACAUUCUGGAGUUGGAUAGUGGAGAUGGUUGCACAACAAUAUGAAUGUAUUAAUACUGAACUAGACACUUAAAAAUGAUUAAGAUAAAUUGUAUGUUAUGUGUGUUUUCCAGUAAAAAAUGGAAAAUGUAAAAAUAUUUUAACUUAUAAUCUGAAAAUCGAUAGCAAUUCUUUAAAAAACAAACACUAAAAACACCAUCUAUUUAACCAUCAAGCUUAUCUUUAGCAUUCCCAAUAUUAUUUUUCAAAAUAUUAAUCCACAUUAAUUCUUAUAUAUUUAUCUAUAAGUUUCUACUCUUUGUUCCUUUCUAAAAUUUUUAAUUGAAGCAUAGUUGACUCAGAAUAUUAUAUUAGUUCCAGGUGUAUAAUAUAGUGAUUCAACAAUUAUAUACAUAACAAAAUGCUCACCAUAAGUUUAAUUACUAUCUGUGUCACCAUACAAAGUUAUUAUAGUAUUAUUGACUAUAUUUCCAAUGCUGUACUUUUCAUCACCAUGACAUAUUUAUUUUAUAACUGUAAAUUUCUACCUCUUCAGGCCUAUCACCUCUUUCAUCUGCUCCUCAGCUCCUCUACCCCCUGGAAACCACCAGUUUGUUCUCUAUAGUUAUGAGUCUAUGUCUUUGUUUAUUAGUUCAUUCAUUUGUUUUGUUGUUUUGAUUCCACAUAUAAGUGAAACCUCUGGUACUUGUCUUUCUGUCUGACUUAUUUCAUCUAGCAUAAAACACUCCAGGUCCAUCCAUGUUGUUGUGAAUGGCAUGAUCUCAGUCUUUUUUUGUGUAGCUGAGUAAUAUUCCAUUAAUAUUCCCUUGUAUAUAUAUGCCACAUCUUGUUCAUCCCUUCAUCAUUCCAUUGUAAAUAAUGCUGCAAUAAAACUGAAAUAGAAGUACCAUACAAUUUAGUAAUUCCACUUCUGGGUAUUUAGCCAAAGAAAAUGAAAAUACUAAUUCAAAAGGUUUCUUUUUUUUUUUUUUUUAACCUUAAACUUCUUUAAAGCAGGCCUCAGAAUCACCUAACAACCUCACAUAAUAACCUGGUAAUACAAAUCCAUGUGAACCAAUAGAAAGCAAAAGGAAAUAUCAAUGCGAUAAUGUACCACUUCAUAAUCAAAAACAACAAGAGGUGUAGAUGGCUACUUGAGGCAAACUGAAAUUCUUUUUGUAAUCAUUAGCUCACAUUCGGUCCAUCAGGCUCUCAGUGACACACAGCACAACCAAACUUCUUGUGUUGACUAUUGACUUUUCUAUUUUUUCCCUGCUGGUAUUGGUACUC
rnacentral:lncRNA from 1 species